rnacentral:rRNA from 1 species
ACGGGUGAGUAACACGUGGGUAACCUGCCUCAUAGAGGGGAAUAGCCUUUCGAAAGGAAGAUUAAUACCGCAUAAGAUUGUAAUGCCGCAUGGUAUAGCAAUUAAAGGAGUAAUCCGCUAUGAGAUGGACCCGCGUCGCAUUAGCUAGUUGGUGAGGUAACGGCUCACCAAGGCGACGAUGCGUAGCCGACCUGAGAGGGUGAUCGGCCACAUUGGGACUGAGACACGGCCCAGACUCCUACGGGAGGCAGCAGUGGGGAAUAUUGCACAAUGGGGGAAACCCUGAUGCAGCAACGCCGCGUGAGUGAUGACGGUCUUCGGAUUGUAAAGCUCUGUCUUCAGGGACGAUAAUGACGGUACCUGAGGAGGAAGCCACGGCUAACUACGUGCCAGCAGCCGCGGUAAUACGUAGGUGGCAAGCGUUGUCCGGAUUUACUGGGCGUAAAGGGAGCGUAGGUGGAUAUUUAAGUGGGAUGUGAAAUACUCGGGCUUAACCUGGGUGCUGCAUUCCAAACUGAAUAUCUAGAGUGCAGGAGAGGAAAGUAGAAUUCCUAGUGUAGCGGUGAAAUGCGUAGA